GGGUGAGUAACGCGUAGGUAACCUGCCUGGUAGCGGGGGAUAACUAUUGGAAACGAUAGCUAAUACCGCAUAAGAGUAGAUGUUGCAUGACAUUUGCUUAAAAGGUGCACUUGCAUCACUACCAGAUGGACCUGCGUUGUAUUAGCUAGUUGGUGGGGUAACGGCUCACCAAGGCGACGAUACAUAGCCGACCUGAGAGGGUGAUCGGCCACACUGGGACUGAGACACGGCCCAGACUC
rnacentral:rRNA from 1 species